UUGCUCCUACGGGGGGCAGCAGUGGGGAAUAUUGCACAAUGGGGGAAACCCUGAUGCAGCAACGCCGCGUGAGUGAAGAAGUAUUUCGGUAUGUAAAGCUCUAUCAGCAGGGAAGAAAAUGACGGUACCUGAGUAAGAAGCCCCGGCUAACUACGUGCCAGCAGCCGCGGUAAUACGUAGGGGGCAAGCGUUAUCCGGAUUUACUGGGUGUAAAGGGAGCGGAGACGGCGAUGCAAGUCUGAAGUGAAAGCCCGGGGCUCAACCACGGGACUGCUUUGGCGACUGUAUGGCUGGAGGGCUGGAGG
rnacentral:rRNA from 1 species